rnacentral:rRNA from 1 species
AUGCAGAAUACAUUCAUUUUUAUUGAUGUUGAUACCGAGUUGGAAUACCGGAUCUUUUUUCAACCUUCUAACAGCUCAUCGCUCGUUGCAGGAUACACACUAUUCCUCGCGUUUGUCAUCGACUGGUUGCACCACUACCUUCGGAAGCUCAUCACCCUGAGGAAAUCAGCCAACACCUCCAGGGAAGAGGUCGAGAAGCUCCAAAUGGAGAACCUGUCCUUGCGCGAGAAGGAGGAGAAAUCGGCCAGCGAGAUGAAGAAGCUUCAGCAGGACAUGGCCAAGCUGAGCGAGGACAUGAAGAAGCUGAAAUCUGAGUCCGAGGAUCACCAGGAAAGCGUAUGA